GGCUCAGUAGCUCAGUGGUCAGAGCAGGGGAUUCAUAAGCCCAAGGUCGUAGGUUCAAAUCCCACCUGAGCCA
rnacentral:tRNA from 1 species